UACGUAGGGACCGAGCGUUGUCCGGAUUCAUUGGGCGUAAAGAGCUCGUAGGCGGCCACUCAAGUCGAAUGUGAAACCUCGAGGCUUAACCUCGAGCCUGCAUUCGAUACUGGGCGGCUAGAGUCUGGUAGGGGGAUCUGGAAUUCCUGGUGUAGCGGUGGAAUGCGCAGAUAUCAGGAGGAACACCGGUGGCGAAAGCGGGAUCCUGGGCCAGUACUGACGCUGAGGAGCGAAAGCGUGGGGAGCAAACAGG
rnacentral:rRNA from 1 species